CAUGCAAACACGUGUGUUUAUCUGAUUGCUGAGACAGCGCUCAGACUUGGCGUGCUGCCUCUUACAGAUCUCCGAAGAGUUAGCCUCACAGAAACCUCUGGGAUUAAAGAAUAACAGUUGCAUUUUGGUCUCAUUGUGGGAAGAGCGACAGAACAAAACCUAGAUUGUUAUCUGGAAGAGAAUCACAUUCAUGUACGAAGAGAAUAACUUAUCAGAAAUGGGAAACGGCUCAGGGAAUCCAGAGGCUCAACUGUUCCCAUAUGCGCUCAGCUUCUGAGUCAUUCUGGUUCUCAGGAAAUGGGCAAAUCUCUUUUUCACAGCAAUUUUCAGAGCCAUUUGGGGGUGUCUGGGAGGCCAAAAGCUACUCUGAGCAUGCAUGGGGAGGUCAUGUUACAGAGAAGGAGAAACGUUAGCUUUCAAUGGGA
rnacentral:lncRNA from 1 species